GGGAUAUAGCUCAGUUGGUAGAGCUCCGCUCUUGCAAGAUGUCAGCGGUUCGAGUCCGCUUAUCUCCA
rnacentral:tRNA from 1 species